rnacentral:rRNA from 1 species
UACGUAGGGUGCGAGCGUUAAUCGGAAUUACUGGGCGUAAAGCGUGCGCAGGCGGUGAUGUAAGACAGGUGUGAAAUCCCCGGGCUUAACCUGGGAACUGCAUUUGUGACUGCAUCGCUGGAGUGCGGCAGAGGGGGAUGGAAUUCCGCGUGUAGCAGUGAAAUGCGUAGAUAUGCGGAGGAACACCGAUGGCGAAGGCAAUCCCCUGGGCCUGCACUGACGCUCAUGCACGAAAGCGUGGUGAGCAAACAGG